GACGAACGCUGGCGGCGUGCUUAACACAUGCAAGUCGAACGAAGAGCGACGGAAGCUUGCUUCUAUCAAUCUUAGUGGCGAACGGGUGAGUAACGCGUAAUCAACCUGCCCUUCAGAGGGGGACAACAGUUGGAAACGACUGCUAAUACCGCAUACGAUCUAACCUCGGCAUCGAGGAUAGAUGAAAGGUGGCCUCUACAUGUAAGCUAUCACUGAAGGAGGGGAUUGCGUCUGAUUAGCUAGUUGGAGGGGUAACGGCCCACCAAGGCGAUGAUCAGUAGCCGGUCUGAGAGGAUGAACGGCCACAUUGGGACUGAGACACGGCCCAGACUCCUACGGGAGGCAGCAGUGGGGAAUCUUCCGCAAUGGACGAAAGUCUGACGGAGCAACGCCGCGUGAGUGAUGACGGCCUUCGGGUUGUAAAGCUCUGUUAAUCGGGACGAAAGGCCUUCUUGCGAAGAGUGAGAAGGAUUGACGGUACCGGAAUAGAAAGCCACGGCUAACUACGU
rnacentral:rRNA from 1 species